rnacentral:rRNA from 1 species
GAUGAACGCUGGCGGCGUGCCUAAUACAUGCAAGUCGAGCGAACAGACGAGGAGCUUGCUCCUCUGACGUUAGCGGCGGACGGGUGAGUAACACGUGGAUAACCUACCUAUAAGACUGGGAUAACUUCGGGAAACCGGAGCUAAUACCGGAUAAUAUAUUGAACCGCAUGGUUCAAUAGUGAAAGACGGUUUUGCUGUCACUUAUAGAUGGAUCCGCGCCGCAUUAGCUAGUUGGUAAGGUAACGGCUUACCAAGGCAACGAUGCGUAGCCGACCUGAGAGGGUGAUCAGCCACACUGGAACUGAGACACGGUCCAGACUCCUACGGGGGGCAGCAGUAGGGAAUCUUCCGCAAUGGGCGAAAGCUUGACGGAGCAACGCCGCGUGAGUGAUGAAGGUCUUCGGAUCGUAAAACUCUGUUAUUAGGGAAGAACAAAUGUGUAAGUAACUAUGCACGUCUUGACGGUACCUAAUCAGAAAGCCACGGCUAACUACGUGC